CCGAAGUGGUGGAACUGGUAGACGCGCUGGCUUCAGGAGCCAGUGGGCGCAAGCCCGUGGGGGUUCGAGUCCCCCCUUCGGCA
rnacentral:tRNA from 1 species